rnacentral:rRNA from 1 species
UACGUAGGGUCCGAGCGUUGUCCGGAAUUAUUGGGCGUAAAGAGCUCGUAGGCGGUUUGUCGCGUCUGCUGUGAAAUCCCGAGGCUCAACCUCGGGUCCGCAGUGGGUACGGGCAGACUGGAGUGCGGUAGGGGAGAAUGGAAUUCCUGGUGUAGCGGUGGAAUGCGCAGAUAUCAGGAGGAACACCGAUGGCGAAGGCAGUUCUCUGGGCCGUAACUGACGCUGAGGAGCGAAAGCGUGGGGAGCGAACAGG